rnacentral:rRNA from 1 species
UUUGGGUUUAAAGUGUGCGCAGGCGGUUGUGUAAGACAGGUGUGAAACGUCCCCCGGGCUUAACCUGGGGAACUGCGCUUGUGACUGCACGGCUAGAGUAUGGCAGAGGGGGGUGGAAUUCCACGUGUAGCAGUGAAAAUGCGUAGAGAUGUGGAGGAACACCGAUGGCGAAGGCAGCCCCCCUGGGCCAAUACUGACGCUCAUGCACGAAAGCGUGGGGAGCAAACAGGAUUAGAUACCCUAGUA